GACGAACGCUGGCGGCGUGCUUAACACAUGCAAGUCGAACGGAAAGGCUCCAGCUUGCUGGAGUACUCGAGUGACGAACGGGUGAGUAACACGUGGGUAAUCUGCCCUGCACUCUGGGAUAAGCCUGGGAAACUGGGUCUAAUACUGGAUAUGACCUUUCUCCUUAUGGGGUUUGGUGGAAAGUUUUUCGGUGUAGGAUGAGCCCGCGGCCUAUCAGCUUGUUGGUGGGGUGAUGGCCUACCAAGGCGACGACGGGUAGCCGGCCUGAGAGGGUGAUCGGCCACAUUGGGACUGAGAUACGGCCCAGACUCCUACGGGAGGCAGCAGUGGGGAAUAUUGCACAAUGGGCGGAAGCCUGAUGCAGCGACGCCGCGUGAGGGAUGACGGCCUUCGGGUUGUAAACCUCUUUCAGCAGGGACGAAGCGUAAGUGACGGUACCUGCAGAAGAAGCACCGGCUAACUAUGUG
rnacentral:rRNA from 1 species